rnacentral:tRNA from 2 species
GCGGGCGUAACUCAGUUGGUAGAGUGUCAGCUUCCCAAGCUGAAUGUCGUGGGUUCGAGUCCCAUCGCCCGCUCCA